UCUGGUUGAUCCUGCCUGAACUGAUGUGUUCAUUUCAAAGAUUAAGCCAUGCAUGUAUAAGUAUAAACGAUUUAAUCGUGAAACCGCGAACGGCUCAUUAUAACAGCUAUAAUUUACUUGAUUUUGAUAUUUUUACAUGGAUAACUGUGGUAAUUCUAGAGCUAAUACAUGCACCAAAGCUCCGACCUUGCGGGACGAGCGCAUUUAUUAGAACAAAACCAGGCGGCUUUUGCUGUUUUUUGUUGACUCAGAAUAACUAAGCUGAUCGCACGGUCUUGAACCGGCGACGUAUCUUUCAAGUAUCUGCCUUAUCAACUUUCGAUGGUAGUGUAUUUGACUACCAUGGUGGUGACGGGUAACGGAGGAUAAGGGUUCGACUCCGGAGAAGGGGCCUGAGAAAUGGCCACUACGUCUAAGGAUGGCAGCAGGCGCGCAAAUUACCCACUCUCGGAACGAGGAGGUAGUGACGAAAAAUAACGAGACCGUUCUCUAUGAGGCCGGUCAUCGGAAUGGGUACAAUCUAAACCCUUUAACGAGUAUCAAUGAGAGGGCAAGUCUGGUGCCAGCAGCCGCGGUAAUUCCAGCUCUCAAAAUGCAUAGAAUUAUUGCUGCGGUUAAAAAGCUCGUAGUUGGAUCUGUGCCCGGGACUCGGUCCAUUCAUGUAAUGCGUACUGAGCUCUCGGGCUUUUUUGUCGGUUUUCUUGCUGUAGCCUUUAUUGGUUGCGGUUGGUGGCUGACGAUUUUACUUUGAACAAAUCAGAGUGCUUAACACAGGCGUUUCGCUUGAAUGUUCUUGCAUGGAAUAAUAGAAAAGGAUUUCGGUUCGAUUUUAUUGGUUUUUUAUUGACUGAGAUAAUGGUUAACAGAGAUAAACGGGGGCAUUCGUAUCGCUGCGUGAGAGGUGAAAUUCUUGGACCGCAGCGCGACGAACUACAGCGAAAGCAUUUGCCAAGAAUGUCUUCAUUAAUCAAGAACGAAAGUCAGAGGUUCGAAGGCGAUCAGAUACCGCCCUAGUUCUGACCGUAAACUAUGCCAACUAGCGAUCCGCCGGCGGAAAUAUUGCCCUGGUGGGGAGCUUCCCGGAAACGAAAGUCUUCCGGUUCCGGGGGAAGUAUGGUUGCAAAGCUGAAACUUAAAGGAAUUGACGGAA
rnacentral:rRNA from 1 species